AGAGUUUGAUCCUGGCUCAGAACGAACGCUGGCGGCAGGCCUAACACAUGCAAGUCGAACGCACCGCAAGGUGAGUGGCGCACGGGUGAGUAACACGUGGGAAUGUACCCUUUGGUUCGGAAUAACGUUUGGAAACGAACGCUAAUACCGGAUGAGCCCUACGGGGGAAAGAUUUAUCGCCAAAGGAGCAGCCCGCGUCUGAUUAGCUAGUUGGUGGGGUAAAGGCCUACCAAGGCGACGAUCAGUAGCUGGUCUGAGAGGAUGAUCAGCCACACUGGGACUGAGACACGGCCCAGACUCCUACGGGAGGCAGCAGUGGGGAAUAUUGGACAAUGGGCGGAAGCCUGAUCCAGCCAUGCCGCGUGAGUGAUGAAGGCCUUCGGGUUGUAAAGCUCUUUCGCACGCGACGAUGAUGACGGUAGCGUGAGAAGAAGCCCCGGCUAACUUCGUGCCAGCAGCCGCGGUAAUACGAAGGGGGCUAGCGUUGUUCGGAAUUACUGGGCGUAAAGGGCGCGUAGGCGGCUAUUCAAGUCAGGCGUGAAAGCCCCGGGCUUAACCUGGGAACUGCGCUUGAGACUGGAUGGCUAGAGUACCGGAGAGGUAGGUGGAAUUCCCAGUGUAGAGGUGAAAUUCGUAGAUAUUGGGAAGAACACCAGUGGCGAAGGCGGCCUACUGGACGGUAACUGACGCUGAGGCGCGAAAGCGUGGGGAGCAAACAGGAUUAGAUACCCCGGUA
rnacentral:rRNA from 1 species